GGGCUCAUAGCUCAGUUGGUUAGAGUGUCUCCUUGACAUGGAGAAGGUCGGUGGUUCGAGUCCACUUGAGCCCACCA
rnacentral:tRNA from 1 species